rnacentral:rRNA from 1 species
UCAAUAGCCUAACGGCUGAACCAGCAACUUGGAGGAAUGUAUAGCAAUAGCUACUUGCAUCAUUGUAAAUAUGAUGCAAGAUCGACUAUGUCGAAUAAAAUUCUAGGUAGAAUUAUGAUAAUGACAUUGUCUGCCUAUGUGUCUUGACCAAAUUACGUGCCAGCAGUCGCGGUAAUACGUAGAAGACUAGUGUUAUUCAUGUUUAAUCGGUUUAAAGGGUACCUAGACGGUAAAUCAAGCCUAAAAGGAAAUAAAUGAAGGGACUAAUUUACUAGAGUUACUUAUGAGGGGGUAUUAAAGUACUGCUGGUGUAGAGAUGAAAUUCUGUCAUACCUCUUUUCAAUAGAAAAAUAAUGGCACAGGUAUAGGCGAAAGCAUCCCCUUAUGUGAUAACUGACGUUGAGGGACGAAGGCUUUGUGUAGCGAACAGGAUUAGAUACCCCAGUAGUCAAAGCAGAAAAUGAUGAAUGUCAUAGAUUAGAUAUAUAAGUUUAUUCUAUAAAUGAAAGUGUAAGCAUUCCACCUCAAGAGUAAUUUGGCAACAUUGGAACUGAAAUCAUUAGACCGUUUCUGAAACCAGUAGUGAAGUAUGUUGUUUAAUUUGAUGAUCCGCAAAAAACCUUACCACAAUUUGAAUAUUUAUAUCUUUUAUUGUUUUUCUUUUUAACUAUCUUCUUAUUUUCUACUUAAAAGAAAACAAUUACAAGAAAAAAGGGGCAAUAAGAUAUAUUUACAAGCGUUGCACGGCUGUCUUCAGUUAAUGUCGCGAGACUAUGGUUAGUUCCAUUAAAUUAACGUAAACCCUUACUUUAUUUUUAUAUAGAGUAGUUCCCCGCUAUAUUGGAUAUGAUAACAGGGACUAAGACAAGUCAUCAUGGCCUAAAUAUUGU